rnacentral:rRNA from 1 species
CGUGCCAGCAGCCGCGGUAAUACGAAGGGGGCUAGCGUUGUUCGGAUUUACUGGGCGUAAAGCGCACGUAGGCGGACUAUUAAGUCAGGGGUGAAAUCCCGGGGCUCAACCCCGGAACUGCCUUUGAUACUGGUAGUCUUGAGUUCGAGAGAGGUGAGUGGAAUUCCGAGUGUAGAGGUGAAAUUCGUAGAUAUUCGGAGGAACACCAGUGGCGAAGGCGGCCAACUGGACCAUUACUGACGCUGAGGCGCGAAAGCGUGGGGAGCAAACAGGAUUAGAUACCCUGGUAGUCCACGCCGUAAACGAUGA